rnacentral:siRNA from 1 species
UCUAAGGGUGCGAGCGAACGG